CCUACGUGAGGCAGCAGUGGGGGAUAUUGCACAAUGGGGGGAACCCUGAUGCAGCGACGCCGCGUGUGUGAAGGAGCGCUUCGGCGCGUAAAGCCCUAUCGGCAGGGAAGAAGGGAGACGGUACCUGACUAAGAAGCCCCGGCUAACUACGUGCCAGCAGCCGCGGUAAUACGUAGGGGGCAAGCGUUAGCCGGAUUUACUGUGUGGAAAGGGGGCGCAGACGGGAGCGCAAGCCAGGAGUGAAAGCCCUGGGCCCAACCCCGGGACUGCUCUUGGAACUGGGCGGCUGGAGUGCAGGAGGGGCAGGCGGAAUUCCUGGUGUAGCGGUGAAAUGCGUAGAGAGCAGGAGGAACACCGGUGGCGAAGGCGGCCUGCUGGACUGCGACUGACGUUGAGGCCCGAAAGCGUGGGGAGCAAACAGGAUUAGAUACCCCAGUAGUC
rnacentral:rRNA from 1 species